rnacentral:lncRNA from 1 species
UUUAAUCCAACGACUCCCAACUCAUCACCCUCCCCCACUAAAAUGCCGGAAUAUACCCCUAAGCCCUAGAGACCAACCCCCAUUUUUCCAUUUCUCAUCUCUCAGCUCUCGUCAUUCACUCCCUGCUAAAGCCGCCGCAGGAAAUCACCCAUGGCAGUGACAUCACUCCAAAUAACCACACCACAAAUCAUUACCCUAUGACCACCGCACUUCCCUAAUCCUAAAUCACUUUCCAAUUUUCCCAAAUAAUCACCCAAACUACAUGAAUUCCAAAUCUAAGAAGUCAAGAAAACCUAGUUUGCUUUUCUUUUAAGAUUCUUUCUAAGUUCGGGCUUCUUUUUCGUUAUUACCUGAAUAAAUCGAAUACCUUCAGAGUUGAAUGAUGAUUAGUUUCAUGCAGUUAAUUGUCACAUGUGUUUGAUUAGCCAUAGACCCUCCCUUCUCUGCUUGGAACUGCAUUGUCUCAAGCGUUAGACUCCAUAGCCUUAAGGUAUCAUUUUGUAUUCAAUUCUCCGGUCAAGCUAGGAUCGUUAUAUUUACUUGCAACCAUUGUUUAUGCCAUUCGAGCAUGAAUCAGUGCUCGUGUGACAAUAUCGACCACUACUCAGAUUGUUUGAAACCAGUAGUGAUAUCAUCAAUGGGUAAUACUUUUUUUCCAUUCUUUCUUGGUCAUUUAGCUUAAUUGUCUAAUAUAUUGAUAGAUUGGUGUUUUGUUGUUUUACAUGAUAUAAUUUAGUUUUAGGUUAAUUACAACAUGUUUUAGCAUUAAUUUCAAUUACACUUAGUUGAUUUUAUUGAAAUUAUCAAUUGAAUUGCUUGCUUAAUGAUGCAUCAACCGUUGUUUCCACCUCAUUUCAAUUUGAUUCAUGCUUAGUUAUUGCAGGGUUUAGUCGAUUUAGAUUUUAGAAGCUGACAUACUUUGUUUGUUUGAAUCGUUCACUAGGUUAAAUUACAUAAUUAUCUUCCUCUGUUUUGGUUGUCCUAUUUUGUAAAUUAUUAGGAACUUAUUAACUGAAAUAAAGAAAUUUAGGCGGGUCUUUGAGGUAUUUUUGGAGAAUAAGAAUAUCUGGAAAAUUCGAAAAGCUUCUAGAAAGGGAUAGUUGUCCAAAAUUAUUAAUAAAAGAUGCUGAGAAACUGGACAACUGUCCAUUUUUCUAUUUUAAAAGAUGCCAAUUUCCUAAUUCUAAGGGAAGGCUGGCAGAUUCUCUUACUCUCUCUCUCCUUCCCAUCACAAGGGCACACACUUCAUACUUUAUAUAAAAGACCUCACAUUUCCUGAUCCUAGAUGUUAUUAUCUGCAUAUUCACUCUCAAAAGAACGAACACUUGGGUAGAAAAAGAGAGAGAUACACACACGAAAAUGACUUCAAAAAUACAAAAUUCUUCAUGACUUUGACAUUGAUUUUCUAUAUGAAAUUGAUGAAUGAAAUGUUGACUUCAUGACUAUGCCUAAGCAUGUGUGUUCAUUGUGUUUUAGUCAUUAGAUCCAUUAAUCCUUGCGGAAAUGUUAUGUGUUCAAGCUAAAAUCUAGACUGGAAUCAUCUUUUCCUUUGAGAAAAUUCUAGUUGUUGAUCCUGUGGUUAAUUGAUUGUUAAUUGGAUUUGCUUUAAGUAUAACUCAGAACUGAAAUUUUGUAACCUAGUUUAAGAUUCACUUGAUUAUAGCCUAUAUAGUAUCUAGGAGGCACUCCGAAAUCUUCAGUCUUCAAAGUUCGACCACCAGUUGGCCAUAUUUGAGAGGCCUUAGGUAGUGUUGAAAUGCAUUAGUUGAUAAUCUUGCCUUCCCAUGAGCAUUAAGGAGGAAUUUUGAAAUCAAAUAAAGGCAUUCUCUUAUUUUCUUUUAGCUGUUAAGUUUGUAUGUGAUAGAGAUAGUCAAUGGGAUGUAUUAACUAAUGUUUUGUCGUUUGCUACAAUCACUCUAUAAUUUUGAAAACAUCAUUUUGUUGUGUUUGAGUUUGUAAUUUCCACAACCCUUUGUUACAUGUUGAGUUUUUUAAAAGGCAACAAUGUUUACUAAUUUCUAAGAAUGUAUGAAAUUGGACUUUAAACUAUAAUAUUGUUAUCAUUGUUUGAUUGCUUUUCUAUUGUCGUUGGAUUUGUGAAAAAAGUUGUUACACCUCAUUUUUACCACCCAGGGUAUAUAAGGGAGUUUUUCUAAUUAAUGUGAUAUAAAUCGAAAAUGGAUUAUUUUUAUUUUUUUAUUUUUUCCAGAGACGCCACUUAGGACAAUUUAUUUGGUAUCCCAAGUCACUAGUUUAUUUUAUAUCAAAUAGAGAAAAUUUUCAACUUUAUUUAAAACUUUGCGAACCAGAAUGUGACGACCCGACAAGUCAUCUUAUGAGUUACUGUUGUUCCCCCAAUGUCUGCCACUUUUUGCCUAUUUAUCCGCAAUAUAUGGUAUCGGGUUGGUCCGAUCAAAUCCGGAAUGAUUUUGGUAAGGUUUAAGAUACUUCGUCUCUUUGUAGGAAGCUUAAGUUGGAAAAGUCAAUCGGAUGUUGAUUUAUGUAUCACAGGGCUUGGAUAUGAGUUCCAAUGGUUUGGAUAGCUCUGACAAGUCAAUUGGGACUUAGGAUCAUGAUCUGCACGAGUUUUGGAGGUUCAUAGUAGAUUUAUGCUUGAAUUGAAAAAGUUGAUAUUUUGGCGAUUUCGGUUGGAAGGCGACAUUAUGAUAUAGGGGUCGGAAUUUCAUUCCGAGAGUUGCAAUAGUUUUGUUGUGUCAUUUGAGAUAUAUGUGUGAAAUUCCAAGUUAUUCGGACGUGGUUUGGUGUGAUUUUUGAUCGAAAGUGGAAUUCCAAAGAUUUUGGAAUACUUAGGCUUGAAUCUGAUGUAGUUUGGUUUAUUUGAUAUUGUUUGAGCUAUUUUGAAGAUUUGUAUAAGUUUGAAUAAGGUUUUGGGGUAUGUUGGUGCCUUUUGGUUGAUAUCCCGGGGCCUUAGGCGAGUUUCAAAUGGUUGAUCGGACUAUUUCAUGCCUUGGAGAAUUGCAGGUUUUGGUUCAAUUGUUGUAGAGUUUUUACUCUGAGCGAUCGCUUAGGGAGUCUCGUGAUCACGUAGAGCUGUUGUGGGGGCAGUUCGUUUUGCUCAGUGCAUUCGCGAAGCUGGGGAUGCGAUCACAUAAGCUGAAGGCAUUGUUGACCGCGAACGUGUGGAGUGGGUCGCAUUCACGUAGAGUUAAGUGGACCAAGGGUCUAUGCUUGAUGUUUUUCACUGCGAACGUGGUAUCCAAUCUGCGAUCUCGUAGUGUUAGACGCCUGAGCAUCACGUUCGCAUAGGAUUUUACGCGUUCAAAUAAUGUUAAUUGUGGGAGCUGUAAAUUUAUACUUCGGGAUCGCGAAGGAUGUCCCCCAUUCACGUCGAAGGAAUUAAGGCCUCAGCAGAAGGUUUAGAAGGUCGUCUUGUCCGCAAAUGUGGGGUUUAUUUCUUUCAUUGUUGGUUGUUUUUGAAGCUUUUUAAAGGGGAUUGAAGAGGGAUUCAAGGGGAAUCACUUGGAGGUAAGAUUCUUAGACUUAAAACUCGAUUCUAAUGUGAAUUCCACCUAAAUAAUCAUGGAAAUGAAGCCAAAAAUUGAAGAACUAGUGCUUGGAAACUUAGACCUUUGCUUGAGAAUUUGAAGGACUAUUAUAGGUUAGAUCCGAGAACUUUUGAUAUAUAUGAACUCAAGGGGAGAUAAGGAACCUGUUGAUGUAAAAAUUAUUGAAUUUUGAGACGUGGGCCCGGGAUCGGGUUUUGGUAAUUUCGGAAUUUAUGUUGUAUUUUGAUUAUUUUCGCUUGGGCUUCGUUCCCUUAGCAUAUUUGACAUCCUCAUUCUGAUUUUGAUUUGAUUUGAUGCGAGUGGAGGUCGAUUAGAAGGGCAAAGGCAUCACGAGUUAGAGAUUUAAUCGGUUCGAGGCAAGUAAUGAUUUUAUAUGAUGUUCUAAGGAUUUGAAACCCCGAAUUGCACAUUGUAGUGCUAUAUUAAGGUGACGCACAUGCUAGAUGAAGAGAGUGGGGACGUGCACUAUUGGGGCUUGUGAUUUAGCCCGUCCCAAAUAAUUAUUUACCUCGUAUUUGACUAAAAUCUAAUUACUAUCAUCAGUAUAUGGGUUGAAUGCCAUAUUCGGGCCUCGUGCCAAUUAUUUGAACCUUUUCAGGGAUUUUUAAUGAUAUUUCCUUACUGUUUUGACUUUAUACUUGAACUCAGUCAUAUUAUUUUCACUAUUUCCAUACUCAACCAUAUUUACUUUGUUUUAAUACUUAAAUGAUCUUUUAAAUAAUAAUUCGGCUAAGGCUCACUAUUUUACUAUUGCCCGAGUGUCUUCUGAGGAUAUUUGAUUGAGUAAGGCUGAGGGCCUAUAUUAUGUGGAAACACUCAUCAUGAUCUGAGAUCGAGGGCUUGAGAUAUGUACGCCACGAGGUGGCUUGAUUGAUAUAAGGCCGAAAGCCUGGUGAUGACGCCACGGAAUGGCUUGAUAUUGUGCUUGGUCCAUACGGGGCCCCUCCAGGAGUCUGCACACCCCGAGUGAGCGCAGGUGGGACCCAUUAUGAUAUGAGAUUGAGCCUUAGCGGCUAAUAUUGUUCUGAGAUGUUGCCCAGGGGCAUAUUUGUUGAUAUUGUGCCCGAUGGGCAAACUUCUAUGUGAUUAUUUCUCCUUAAUUGCCUGUCAAUUAACUACUUAAAUGUUGAAAAAAGCCUUUUCAUGAAAUUUCAGUUGAGUUAAAGGAUGUUUUACCUAUCUUUUGCUGAUUUACUAAUUUUAAAUGAUUUUACCGCUUCAUUAUGGAAUAGUUUGUGCCUUAAAUUAUUUCUUGCUUUCAAUCUUUAUUUACGAUUGUUAUUCACUGAGUUGGAGUACAUACUUUACUCUCUGCACCCCGAAGCUCUUCCUUAUCUUAUUUCUUCAUGUUACUAACUUUUCUAUAUUAAACUUUGUUGGUUUCCCGAGUAUUCGGGUUGUGUUGGGUUAUUUUAUGUGACUAUGCAAUUAUCUAUUUAAACUCUAGUUAUUUAAUCGCGCUUUACACCGUUUCUUAAUGUUUAAAUAUUUAAAAUUGAAUUAGGAAUAGUUGGCUGGCCUUAUCUCCAUGAGAGGUGCCAUCAUGGCCGAUUCCGGGUUUAGGGUCGUGAGAAGUUGGUAUUAGAGCCUUAGUUACUUGGGUUUCACGAGUCAUGAGCAGGUUUAGUAGAGUCUCGUAGAUUGGUAUAGAGACUUCUGUAUUUAUUUUCGAGAGGAUGCAGAACCUUUAGGAAAUAUUCAUUUUCUUGAAAUUCUUGUCGUGCGAAUUUGUUGAUCCGAUUAUCAAACUUUUGUUAUUAUAUUCUCUCAAAGAUGGUGAGGUCACACGCUACUAGUCAGGAUGGACGACCACCAGUACCAGUUGUGUCCACUAGAGGCCAAGAAUGCGGUCAUGGUCACGGUAGGGGUAGAGGUGUGGCCUGCACAGCAGCUAGGGCAGCACCAGCAGAUCCACACGCCACCCCAGUUCAUGAUCAGGUCAGUUAUAGAUGCUCUAGAAUCACCAAUUCAGGCACCAGCUGCAUCUAUUGUGAUUCCGGGUCUUUAGGAGGUCUUGGCUUAGAUCCUAUCAAUUUGUACUGGCCUAGCUCAGGCGUUUUCAGCCACUACAGCUGCAAUUGCAUCGCAGUCCGGAGGAGGCAACCAAACUCCCGCCGCUCGCACACCUGAGCAGGUAGUGCAGGGACUUCAAAUGUCGGGGGCACAUCUAGCUCAGCCGGUUGUAGCUGCUCAUGACUAUGUAUUCCUUCCACGCUAGAGGAAGAUUAGCAUAGGUUGGAGAGGUUUGGCAAACUUCAACUGCCGACCUUCAGCGGUGCAGAGGGUAAGGAUGCCCACGGUUUCUUAGAUAUGUGUCUGAGGAUGCUUUGUACAAUAGGUAUUUUGGAGACUAGCGCAGUCGCUUUCACUACUUCAAUUUUCUUGCGCUGCCUUCACUUGGUGGGAGGAUUUUUAGAGGCGAAGGCCUGUUGGUGCAGCAUCCCUUACCUGGCAGAAAUUCUCCAUUCUCUUUCUGGAGAAGUAUGUGUCGUAUUCUCGGAGUGAGGAGCAAUGUAGACAAUUUGAGUGCUUACGUUAGUGGGAGAUGACCGUGUCGGAGUAUGAGUUGAGUUUCUCUUAGUUAGUUUUUCAUGCCAUCUGAGUUGUUCAGACAGAUAGAGAGAGUAUUAGGAGGUUCAUCUAUGGCCUCACCUAUCAGCUUCGUAUUCUCAUGAGCAGGGAGAGGGUGGAUGGUGCUACUUUCAAGGAGGUUGUGGAUAUUUCCCAUGAGAAUUAGUCUACUCGUCGUCAGAAGUGAGAUGAAAGGGAGGCCAAGAGGCCAUAAGGAUUUGGUAGUUAAAGUGGUGCUCAUUUGAGAGGUUAGUUUUAGCACGACAAAGGUCGUCCAUUCAAGAAUGCUCAGCCAGCUCGUCCAGGUUAUCAUUGGGUGUCAUCAGGUCAUGGUUCUGAUAGUUUUCAUCAGGGACAGUCAUCACUUAAUGCACUUCCAGCUUAGAGGUCGUCCCGUGCUCCAUCAAUUCAGGGUUCUUCUAAGUCAUGUGCAUCUGCUAGCUACUUCGGUGCGAGGGAUUCCCUUAAUUCCCCUUCUCUGUCAUCCGGGAGUUGUUAUAAGUGUUGAGAGAUGGGUCAUAUGUGGAGGCAGUGCCCUCGUCCCCUUGCGAGUUCAUUUCAGCAUAGGGGUCAGUCAUCGUCUUCAGUGCCAGUUAUUUCACCACCACCCGCCCAGCCAUCUAGAGGUGGAGGUCAGUCAGCUAGGGGUCGUCCGAGAGAAAGAGGUCGAUCAGGUGGCGAUCAGGACUAUUUCUAUGCACUUUCAGCUAGACCUGAUGCUAUUGCUUCAGAUGCUAUUAUCACAUGUAUUGUUUCAGUCUGCCGCAAAGAUGCCUCUGUAUUAUUUGAUCCUGGUUCCACAUUUUCUUAUGCGUCAUCAUACUUUGCUCGUUAUGUGGGUACGCCCCGUGAGUUCCUUGCUUCACCUAUUCAUGUAUCUACCCCGGUAGGCUGUACUAUUGUUGUAGACUAUGUGUACCAGUUGUGUGUCUAGAAACCUGUAUGGAACUUUUAUUAUUGAGUAUGGUGGAAUUGUCAUUCUAGGCAUGGAUAGGGUAUCUCUGUUCCGUGCUAUUCUGGACUGUCAAGCUAAGACAGUCAUAUUGGAUAUACCGGGUGUGCCAUAGAUUGAGUGGCGAGGUGUGAUUGAUUAUGUUACUAGUAGAGUGAUCUCAUUCUUAAAGGGCCAUCAUAUUGUUGGGAAGGGUAGUCUUUCAUAUCUAGCCUUUGUACGCGAUGUGGUGCUGAGACUCCUAGUAUUGACUCCAUUAAGUUUUGAGUGGUUUCCCCGAUGUGUUUCUUGCAGAACUGCCGAGUAUGCUACCAAACAAGGAUAUUGAUUUUUGGAUUGACUUGGUGCCGGGCAUUCAGCCUAUUUCUGUUUUUCCAUAUCGUAUAGCUCCAUCUGAGUUGAAGGAGUUAAAUGAGCAGCUUCAAGAACUCCUUGAUAAGGGGUUCAUUCAUCCUAGUGUGUCAUCUUUGGGUGCGCAGAUUCUAUUUAUGAAGAAGAAGGAUGGUACUAUGAGGUUUGCAUUGGUAAUAGGCAUUUGAACAAGGUAAAAAUUAAGAAUUAGUAUCCCUUGCCUCGCAUUGAUGAUUUAUUUGACAACCUUCAGGGGGCGAGAGUGUUCUCCAAGAUUGAUCUCCAUUAAGGUUAUAACUAGCUGAAGAUCAGGGACUUGGAUAUUCUUAUGAUGGCUUCCAAGACCCGAUAUGGUCAUUAUGAGUUUUUGGUGAAGUUUUGGGAUAACUAAUGCCCCGGCAUCGUUCAUGCAUUAGAGGAACAACACGUUUCGACCUUAUCUUGAUUCAUUUGUCAUAGUCUUCUUUGAUGAUAUUGUGUUGUAUUCACAUAGCCAGGAGGAGCAUGCACAUUUGAGAGUUGUAUUGCAGAGAUUGAGGGAGGAGAAGCUUUAUGCAAAAUUCUCCAAAUACGAGUUUCGGAUAAGUCCAGUGGCUUUCUUGGGGAAUGUGGUGUUCAACGAGGGUAUUCAGGUUGAUCAGAAGAAGAUAGAGGUGGUUAAAAGUUGGCCAAGUAUGUCCUCAGCCACAAAGAUUCGCAGCUUUCUUAGUUUGGCAGGCUAUCAUCACCGGUUUGUUCAGGGUGCUUCAUUUGUAUGGUCGGACGAGUUUGAGGAGAGCUUUCAGAAGCUCAAGACAGCCUUGACCAUAGCUGCAGUGUUGGUUUUGCCAUCGCCUUUAGGUUCAUAUGCCGUGUGUUAUGAUGCUUCAAGAGUUAGGAUUGGUUGUGUGUUGAUGCAGGAGGAUAUAGUUAUUUCUUACGCUUCUCAUCAGUUGAAGGCCCAUGAGAAGAACUACCCUAUUCAUGAUUUGGAGUUGGCUGCCAUAGUUCAUGCGUUAAAGAAUUAGAGACAUUACUUGUAUGGCAUGUCUUGUGAGUUAUUCAUUGAUCAUUAUUUUCUUCAGCACCGUUCAAGUAUAAGGAUCUCAAUUUGAGGCAGGAGAGCUGGUUGGACUUUCUUAAGGAUUAUGAUAUCACUAUAUUGUACCAUCCGGGGAAGGCCAAUGUGGUGGCCGAUGCUUUGAUCCAAAAGACGGUGAGUAUGGGGAGUUUGGCAUAUAUUCAAGUUGGGGAGAGACCUCUUACAGUUGAUAUUGAGGCCUUGGCCAACCGAUUUGUGAGGUUGAAUAUUUUGUAGCCCAAUCGACUAUUGGCUUGUGUGGUUUCUCGGUCAUCCUUAUAUGAUAGCAUCAGAGAGCACCAAUAUGAUGAUCUGCAUUUUCUUGUCCUUAAGGACAGAGUUAAGCAUGAUGAUCCCAUAGAUAUGACCAUUGGUGAUGAUGGGGUAUUGAGGAUGAAGGGCUGGAUUUGUGUGCCCAAUAUGGAUGGGCUUCAAGAGUUGAUUCUGGAAUAGACCCAUAGCUUGCGGUAUUCCACUCAUCUAGGUGUCGCGAAGUGUAUCAGAAUUUGAGGCACCACUAUUUAUGGAGAAGAAUUAAAAAAUAUAUAGUGGGAUUUGUUGCUUGGUGUCUCAAUAGCCAGCAAGUGAAAUAUGAGCAUCAGAGACUAGGUGGCUUACUUUUGCGGAUGGAUAUUCCAGAGAGGAAGUGGGAGAUGAUCACUAUGGACUUUGUUGUUGGACUUCAAUAGACAUUGAGAAAGUUUGAUUCUAUUUGGGUGAUCGUGGAUCGGCUGACGAAGUUUGCGCACUUCAUUCCUUUAUGCACUACCUAUUCUUCAGAGCGGUUGGCAGAGAUCUAAAUCCGGGAGAUUGUUCGUGUGCAUGUUGUACCCGUUUUCAUCAUUUCAGAUAGGGGCACGCAGUAUACAUCACAGUUUUUGAGGUGUAUGCAGCGAGAGUUAGGUACUCAGGUUGUGUUGAGCACAACAUUUCACCCUUAGGUAGACGCGUAGUCUGAGCGCACUAUUAAGAUAUUUUAGGACAUGUUGCGUGCUUGUGUCAUUGAUUUCAAAGGCUCAUGGGAUCAAUUUCUACCCCUUGCAGAGUAUGGUUAUAACAACAGCUACCAGUCGAGUAUUUAGAUGGCUCCAUAUUAGGCUUUGUAGGGGAGGCGAUGUAGAUCUUUAGUUGGUUGGUUCGAGCCCGGUGAAGGUGAUUCAGGAAAGGCUUCAUACAAGACAGUCGAGGCAAAAAAAUUAUGCUGACAGGAAGGUUCUAGAUGUGUCCUACGUGGUUGGAGAGAAGGUUCUGUUGAAGGUUUCGCCCAUGAAGGGUGAUAUGAGAUUUGGGAAGAAAGGGAAGUUGAUCUCCAGUUCAUUUGGCCAUUUGAGGUGCUUCAGAGGAUUGGGGAGGUGGCAUAUGAGCUUGCCUUGCCACCCAGUUUGUUGAGCGUGCAUUUGGUAAUUCAUAUUUCUAUGUUUUGGAAGUAUAUUGGGGAUUCUUCUCAUGUUCUAGAUUUUAGCACGGUUCAGUUUGAUGAUGAUUUGACCUAUGAUGUGGAGCCAGUAGCUAUUUUAGGUCGUCAUAUUUAAAAGGUAAAGUCAAAGGAUAUAGCUUUAGUGAAAGUGCAGUGAAGAAGUCGGCCCAUGGAGGAGGCUACCUAGGACAUCGAGCGGGAGAUACGGAGCAGAUAUUCGCACCUGUUCGAGGCUUCAGUUAUGUAACUAGACUCAUUCGAGGAUGACAUUUGUUUAAGUUGGAGAGGAUGUGACGACAAAGCCAGUCGUCUCAUGAGUUACUACCCCAUUUCCCCCAUUUCUGCAUCUUUAUGCUUUCUUUAUCCAUGUUAUGUGGUAUCGGGUUGGUCGGAUCGAAUCCAGAAUGAUUUUGGUAAGGUUUGGACAGUUAGUCUCUUUUGAGGAAGCUUAAGUUGGAAAAGUCAACCAGAUAUUUACUUAUGUGUUCGAGGUCUUGGAUUUGAGUUCCAAUGAUUCGGAUAGCUUUGGGAGGUGAUUUGGACUUAGGAGCGUGAUCGGAAUGAGUUUUGGAGGGUCAGAGUAUAUUUAGGCUUAAAUUAGUAAAGUUGAUAUUUUUGUUAUUUCUGAUUGGUAGGCGAGAUUUUGAUAUAAUGGUCAGAAUGGAAUUCCAAGAGUGGCAAUAGUUCUUUGUGUCAUUUGGGAUGUGUGUGCAAAAUUUCAAUUCAUUCGGACAUGGUUUGGUUUGUUUUUUGAUCAAAAGCAAAAUUCAAAAAUUUUUGGAAUUCUGAGGCUUGAAUCCGAUGUGUUUUGGUUGAUUUGAUAUUUUUUGAGGUGUUUUGAAUAUUGGUAAAAGUUUUAAUAUGGUUUUUCGGGAUAUGUGUCGUAUUUUGACUAUUUUUUCUUAGGCUUUGUUCCCUUAGCAUAUUUUCACGUCCUCGUUUUGAUUUUGGAUAGAUUCGACGCAGGUGGAGGCCAAUUCAAUGGGCAAAGGCAUCGUGAGUUAGAGAUUUAACUGGUUCGAGAGGGUAAUGAUUGUAAAUGAUGUUCUGAGGAUUUGAAUCCACAGAUUAGACAUGGUAGUGCCAUAUUGAGGUGACGCACAUGUUGGAUGAUGAGUGUGAGGUCGUGCACUGUUGGGGUUGUGACUUAAUCCGUACCAAAUGACUAUUUUAUCGCGUAUCUGACUGGAAUCUAAUUGCUUUGACUUUACACUUGAACUCCAUCAUUAUUUUUCCAAUGUUUCCAUACUCUGCCAUGUUUACUCUAUUUUAAUACUUAAAUGAUCUUUUACAUGAUAAUUGGGCUGAGGUUUGCUAUUUUACUAUGCCUGAGUGGCUUGUGAGGAUUUUUGACUGAGUAUGGCUGAGAGCAUAUAUUAUGAGGAAACACUAAUCAUGAUAUGAGAUCGAGGGCUUGAGAUAUGUACGCCACGAGGUGGCUUGAUUGCUAUGUGGCCAAAAGCCUAAUAAUGAUGCCACGAGAUGGUGUGAUAUUGCGCUUGGACGGUAAGGGUACCCUCCAGGAGUUUGCACACCCCCUGUGAGCGCGGGUCCAAUUAUGAAGUGAGAUUGAGCCCGAGGGGCUGGUAUUGUUCUGAGAUGUUUCCCGAGAGGGGAAUUGUUGAUAUUGUGCCCGAGAGGCGAACCUCUAUAUGUUUAUUUCACCUUAAUUAUCUUUCAAUUACCUGCUUAAUUGUUAAAAAAGGUCUUUUCAUGAAAUUUCAUCUAAGUUAAAGGAUUUGUUUACCUAUCUUUCACUGAUUUACUAUUUUAAAAUGGUUUUACUGCUUCAUUAUGGAAUGCUUUGUGCCUAAUGUGAUUUCAUACUUUCAGUCUUUAUUUACGAUUGUUACUUACUCAGCUGGAGUACUCACUUUACUCCCUGCACCUUGUGGGCAGACUCAGGCGUAGCAGGUCUCGCUCUCGAGUGCUGAUCAUUUCCAACCCAGGCGGAUUCGAGGAGUCACUAGGUAGCUGUUAAUGUUCACAGCCCAGAGCUCAUCCCUAUCUUAUUUGUUCAUGUUAUUAGUCUUCCUAUAUUAAAUUUAUGAUUUUCCCGAGUAUUCCGGAUUUGUUCGAUGCUCAUGACUAGUGACACACUGGUUUCGGACUGUGUUGGGUUAUUUUUAGUGAAGUAUGCUAUUAUCUACUUAAAAU